rnacentral:rRNA from 1 species
AUUGAACGCUGGCGGCAGGCCUAACACAUGCAAGUCGAGCGGAUGAAGGGAGCUUGCUCCUGGAUUCAGCGGCGGACGGGUGAGUAAUGCCUAGGAAUCUGCCUGGUAGUGGGGGAUAACGUCCGGAAACGGGCGCUAAUACCGCAUACGUCCUGAGGGAGAAAGUGGGGGAUCUUCGGACCUCACGCUAUCAGAUGAGCCUAGGUCGGAUUAGCCCGGUGGUGGGGUAAAGGCCUACCAAGGCGACGAUCCGUAACUGGUCUGCGAGGAUGAUCAGGCACACUGGAACUGAGACACGGUCCAGACUCCUACGGGAGGCAGCAGUGGGGAAUAUUGGACAAUGGGCGAAAGCCUGAUCCAGCCAUGCCGCGUGUGUGAAGAAGGUCUUCGGAUUGUAAAGCACUUUAAGUUGGGAGGAAGGGCAGUAAGUUAAUACCUUGCUGUUUUGACGUUACCAACAGAAUAAGCACCGGCUAACUUCGUG